AUGGACGUAAAGCAGCGCAAACUCCAAGGCAUGGAGGAAAAGUACAAAGCGCUUCAGGCAAGGCAUGAUAAAACACUGAACAAGAAUAAAGAGUUGCUUCAAGAAAAAAAGCAACAAGAAAUUAAACAGAAAGAAAUGGACUGCAAGCUUGAAGACGUGGAGGAAAAAUACACAGCGCUGAAAAUAAAGUUCGAUAAAACAGUGCAAAGAAAUAAGGAUUUCAAACAAGAGAAAGAACAGCAAGAUAUGAAAGAGAAAGAUCUGGAUUGCGACCUUCAGAACAUCAAGAAACACAACAAAGGUUUGCAAGCAAUGCUUGAUGAAGCUCUGCAAAAAAAUAAAGAAAUCCAUGAAGAGAAAGAAAAGCUGGACAUAAAGCAGAGAGACAUGCAGUGCCAACUCCAAGGCAUGCAGGAAAAAUACGGAGCGCAGCAGGUAAAGCUUGAUGAAACACUGCAGAAAUAUCAAGAGCUGCUUCAAGACAAAAAACAACGGGAAAUAAAGCAGAAAGAAGAAAAACAAACUCUCCAGGACUUUGAGAGGAAAAACCAAAAACUGCAAGAACGUUAUAACAAAAUGAACAACAAAACAACUGAACUGGAGAGGGAAAAGAAAACACUGCAAAAACAAUGCUCAGACAUGCAGAGUAAGCUCAAUGACAUCCUGAGAAAAAACACAGAACUUGAGGAACUUUCCAACAACUUGAAGUGCAAAAACACUGAGGUGCAGAUGUUAAAGCAGCAACUAGAGAAAACAAACAAAGACCUGCAGUGUACACUUCAACAAAUCGAGAGAAGUCAGCAGCUAGAAGACACGCACAACAAAUUAGAACAGUGUUAUACAGAGAUGCACAAGGCAAAGCUAAUGCAGGAGGCAAAAUGUAACGAACUGAAAGAAAGGCUGGAAGAAAAACAAGCCAAAUUAGAAGAAGUGGAGAAAACAUGCAGGAAACUUGAGAAGGAAAAUACACAAAUGAUCGAUGAGUUAAGAACCCUCAUCCUAGAGAAAAAAGUGCUCGUGGAAAAGCUCAUGGAAAAGAAGAAAAAACGCUUCCGUUUCUUCUGGAGGAGGGACACUCCUGCUUUUUCUACGUUUUCUACGUUUUCUGCUGCUGAUGUCACCUCGUCUUCCUCCACCUCUGUUCCAUCGUAA
ensembl:lncRNA